rnacentral:rRNA from 1 species
UCGGAGAGUUUGAUCCUGGCUCAGGACGAACGCUGGCGGCGUGCCUAAUACAUGCAAGUCGAGCGAACAGAAGGGAGCUUGCUCCCGGAUGUUAGCGGCGGACGGGUGAGUAACACGUGGGUAACCUGCCUGUAAGACUGGGAUAACUCCGGGAAACCGGAGCUAAUACCGGAUAGUUCCUUGAACCGCAUGGUUCAAGGAUGAAAGACGGUUUCGGCUGUCACUUACAGAUGGACCCGCGGCGCAUUAGCUAGUUGGUGGGGUAAUGGCUCACCAAGGCGACGAUGCGUAGCCGACCUGAGAGGGUGAUCGGCCACACUGGGACUGAGACACGGCCCAGACUCCUACGGGAGGCAGCAGUAGGGAAUCUUCCGCAAUGGACGAAAGUCUGACGGAGCAACGCCGCGUGAGUGAUGAAGGUUUUCGGAUCGUAAAGCUCUGUUGUUAGGGAAGAACAAGUGCGAGAGUAACUGCUCGCACCUUGACGGUACCUAACCAGAAAGCCACGGCUAACUACGUGCCAGCAGCCGCGGUAAUACGUAGGUGGCAAGCGUUGUCCGGAAUUAUUGGGCGUAAAGGGCUCGCAGGCGGUUUCUUAAGUCUGAUGUGAAAGCCCCCGGCUCAACCGGGGAGGGUCAUUGGAAACUGGGAAACUUGAGUGCAGAAGAGGAGAGUGGAAUUCCACGUGUAGCGGUGAAAUGCGUAGAGAUGUGGAGGAACACCAGUGGCGAAGGCGACUCUCUGGUCUGUAACUGACGCUGAGGAGCGAAAGCGUGGGGAGCGAACAGGAUUAGAUACCCUGGUAGUCCACGCCGUAAACGAUGAGUGCUAAGUGUUAGGGGGUUUCCGCCCCUUAGUGCUGCAGCUAACGCAUUAAGCACUCCGCCUGGGGAGUACGGUCGCAAGACUGAAACUCAAAGGAAUUGACGGGGGCCCGCACAAGCGGUGGAGCAUGUGGUUUAAUUCGAAGCAACGCGAAGAACCUUACCAGGUCUUGACAUCCUCUGACAACCCUAGAGAUAGGGCUUUCCCUUCGGGGACAGAGUGACAGGUGGUGCAUGGUUGUCGUCAGCUCGUGUCGUGAGAUGUUGGGUUAAGUCCCGCAACGAGCGCAACCCUUGAUC